rnacentral:lncRNA from 1 species
GCACCUCCAGGCAGGAAGGUACGCACUGAGAUCCUACUGAAUGGGGGCCUCCAGAUGGGGAUCAAGGAGGCCCCAGGGAGUCCUGCAGGGGUCUCCAGGGGGGCCGAGGACAGCUGAACACCAGGAAGUCCUGGAAACUAAACUUGGGUCCUGCUGACCUUCAAAAGCAUUCAUCCUCCUGGACAACGUGUGAUGCCUAUAACCGGCACCGGCCUUCCAAGCAUCUCCACCCAGAGUCCCCCAUAGGCUCUGGGCAAUCCUGGGGAGAGACCAGUGAUGGGGACGCCUCCAUAGAGUGAUGCAGGACACAACCAGCUAGUAGGUUUU